rnacentral:rRNA from 1 species
GACGAACGCUGGCGGCGUGCUUAACACAUGCAAGUCGAACGGAAAGGCCCUGCUUUUGUGGGGUGCUCGAGUGGCGAAAGGGUGAGUAACACGUGAGUAACCUGCCCUUGACUUUGGGAUAACUUCAGGAAACUGGGGUUAAUACCGGAUAGGAGCUCCUGCUGCAUGGUGGGGGUUGGAAAGUUUCGGCGGUUGGGGAUGGACUCGCGGCUUAUCAGCUUGUUGGUGGGGUAGUGGCUUACCAAGGCUUUGACGGGUAGCCGGCCUGAGAGGGUGACCGGCCACCUUGGGACUGAGAUACGGCCCAGACUCCUACGGGAGGCAGCAGUGGGGAAUAUUGCACAAUGGGCGGAAGCCUGAUGCAGCAACGCCGCGUGCGGGAUGACGGCCUUCGGGUUGUAAACCGCUUUCGCCUGUGACGAAGCGUGAGUGACGGUAAUGGGUAAAGAAGCACCGGCUAACUACGUG